GACGAACGCUGGCGGCGUGCUUAACACAUGCAAGUCGAACGGAAAGGCCCUGCUUUUGUGGGGUGCUCGAUUGGCGAACGGGUGAGUAACACGUGAGUAACCUGCCCUUGACUUUGGGAUAACUUCAGGAAACUGGGGCUAAUACCGGAUAGGAGCUCCUGCUGCAUGUUGGGGGUUGGAAAGUUUCGGCGGUUGGGGAUGGACUCGCGGCUUAUCAGCUUGUUGGUGGGGUAGUGGCUUACCAAGGCUUUGACGGGUAGCCGGCCUGAGAGGGUGACCGGCCACAUUGGGACUGAGAUACGGACCAGAAUCCUACGGGAGGCAGCAGUGGGGAAUAUUGCACAAUGGGCGGAAGCCUGAUGCAGCAACGCCGCGUGCGGGAUGACGGCCUUCGGGUUGUAAACAGAUUUCGCCUGUGACGAAGCGUGAGUGACGGUAAUGGGUAAAGAAGCACCGGCUAACUACGUG
rnacentral:rRNA from 1 species